AACUAUCAAAACACAACUGCUGUUUGUAUACGGGGAUGUGUUUUGGACUUUGGGACUGUGCUGGCGUUGUCCAGCUUUCCUCAAAAGCAUUCAUUAGCUUGAAGAUAUGAUGCAUCAGUGUGAUAAAUUGCCUAUGCACUGGCACUAUCUCUCUGCUUCUAUGACAUAUUAUGACC
rnacentral:misc_RNA from 1 species